GAUGAACGCUGGCGGCGUGCUUAACACAUGCAAGUCGAACGGAAAGGCUCCUGCUUGCAGGGGUACUCGAGUGGCGAACGGGUGAGUAACACGUGGGUGAUCUGCCCUGCACUUCGGGAUAAGCCUGGGAAACUGGGUCUAAUACCGGAUAGGGCGAUGGUUUGGAUGCCAUUGUGGAAAGUUUUUUCGGUGUGGGAUGAGCUCGCGGCCUAUCAGCUUGUUGGUGGGGUAAUGGCCUACCAAGGCGUCGACGGGUAGCCGGCCUGAGAGGGUGUACGGCCACAUUGGGACUGAGAUACGGCCCAGACUCCUACGGGAGGCAGCAGUGGGGAAUAUUGCACAAUGGGCGCAAGCCUGAUGCAGCGACGCCGCGUGGGGGAUGACGGCCUUCGGGUUGUAAACUCCUUUCGCUAGGGACGAAGCGCAAGUGACGGUACCUGGAGAAGAAGCACCGGCUAACUACGUG
rnacentral:rRNA from 1 species